CCUACGGGUGGCAGCAGUGGGGAAUAUUGGACAAUGGGGGAAACCCUUAUCCAGCGACGCCGCGUGAGGGAAGAAGGUUUUCGGAUUGUAAACCUCUGUCAGUGGGGACGAGAAUGACGGUACCCACGGAGGAAGCCACGGCUAACGACGUGACAGCAGCCGCGGUAAUACGUAGGGGGCAAGCGUUGUCCGGAAUUACUGGGUGUAAAGGGAGCGGAGGCGGGAUGGCAAGUCAGACGUGAAAAUGAUGGGCUCCACUCAUAACCUGCUUUUGAAACUGAUAUUCUUGAGUGAAGUAGAGGCAAGCGGAAUUCCUAGUGUAGCGGUGAAAUGCGUAGAUAUUAGGAGGACCCCCAGUGGCGAAGGCGGCUUGCUGGGCUUUUACUGACGCUGAGGCUCGAAAGCGUGGGGAGCAAACAGGAUUAGAUACCCCAGUAGUC
rnacentral:rRNA from 1 species